GCGCCUGUAGCUCAGUUGGAUAGAGUGUUUGGCUACGAACCAAAAGGUCGGGGGUUCGAAUCCCUCCAGGCGCG
rnacentral:tRNA from 2 species